rnacentral:tRNA from 1 species
GCGCUGGUGGUUCAGUGGUAGAAUUCUCGCCUGCCACGCGGGAGACGGGGGUUCGAUUCCCGCUAGCGCA